GAUGAACGCUAGCGGGAGGCUUAACACAUGCAAGUCGAGGGAUAGUUUCAGCAAUGGAACGAAAACCGGCGCACGGGUGAGUAACGCGUAUGCAACCUGCCCUUAACCGGGGGAUAGCCCGUCGAAAGGCGGAUUAAUACCCCAUAAUACUGUUGGACUGCAUGGUUUGACAGUUAAAGCUGAGGUGGUUAAGGAUGGGCAUGCGUGACAUUAGCUUGUUGGUAGGGUAACGGCCUACCAAGGCUACGAUGUCUAGGGGUUCUGAGAGGAAGGUCCCCCACAGUGGUACUGAGACCCGGACCAUACUCCUACGGGAGGCAGCAGUGAGAAAUAUUGGUCAAUGGGCGAGAGCCUGAACCAGCCAUCCCGCGUGCAGGAAGAAGGCCCUAUGGGUUGUAAACUGCUUUUGUGCAUGAAGAACAGCCCGAACGUGUUCGGGUCUGACGGUAAUGCGUGAAUAAGCACCGGCUAACUCCGUGCCAGCCGCCGCGGUAAGAC
rnacentral:rRNA from 1 species